rfam:Micromonospora echinofusca strain DSM 43913 genome assembly, chromosome: I
CUUCACCGACCCCAGCCACAGCGGCCGGUCGGUGGGGCGCUCCUUGCCGUACGUGGCCAGCAGCGCCUGCGCCUC